rnacentral:rRNA from 1 species
CAGUCGCCACGGUAAUACGUAGGUCCCGAGCGUUGUCCGGAUUUAUUGGGCGUAAAGCGAGCGUAGGCGGUUAGAUAAGUCUGAAGUUAAAGGCUGUGGCUUAACCAUAGUACGCUUUGGAAACUGUUUAACUUGAGUGCAAGAGGGGAGAGUGGAAUUCCAUGUGUAGCGGUGAAAUGCGUAGAUAUAUGGAGGAACACCGGUGGCGAAAGCGGCUCUCUGGCUUGUAACUGACGCUGAGGCUCGAAAGCGUGGGAGCAAACAGGAUUAGAUACCCGCGUAGUCCCUGUCUCUUAUACAC